CAAAUUGAAGAAGAUAAGUGGUUUUGGAAAACAAAACAAACAGAAAGAGGCAGAAAUCAAGAAAUUUAGAAUGCAGACUAUGUCGUCUGAAAAAGUGAAGAUAGUUUACCACAAAAUAACGUUUCAAACGUCCUUAUUUUCAUUGACUUUUCGACAGCUAGCAUAAUCACAACUCACACAGAAACGCUCAAGCAUAUUUACGAAAAAGCACUAGAUGAAAGCACUAGAUGGAUACGCACUAGAUUGGAUACGCAAUAACUCAAGUUUUAACAUCUAUCACUCCUAAUGAAGACUAAUAAUGGCUUGUCAGCCAAAUGUUUAAACUGAGAAGCUUGUUCUUAAAAACUAUAAUAAAUUUCAGAGAUGGUCGUCGACGAAACUUUUGAAAGCCUAUGAGAAAAUCAACCUUCUCAAAAGGGUACCAAUAGGAAUUAACUGCGGUGACGGUUGCGACGGUGCGAACUUUCCUGUACGUUUGAAGGCAGUGUCGGGAUGCUGUCCGGGACAGUAUUGUCUUCGUGGCGAAUGCUUCUGGAACUGAGAAAGUAAAAGUUUCCUGAACUCGGCUUCAAUAUGUUUUCGAGCUCCUAUUCUAUUUUACGUUCUUUUUUAGAUAUUUUUAUUUCGUAGAACAUUGUAACAAUGUAACCAUCGUUUUGUUUUAAGAAAAUGUACAUUUUAUUCUUACAAGUUUGUCAGACAAUUCUAAAUAAGAAGACUUUGAACUGGAA